rnacentral:rRNA from 1 species
UACGAAGGGGGCUAGCGUUGCUCGGAUUUACUGGGCGUAAAGGGCGCGUAGGCGGACUCUUAAGUCGGGGGUGAAAGCCCAGGGCUCAACCCUGGAAUUGCCUUCGAUACUGAGAGUCUUGAGUUCGGAAGAGGUUGGUGGAACUGCGAGUGUAGAGGUGAAAUUCGUAGAUAUUCGCAAGAACACCAGUGGCGAAGGCGGCCAACUGGUCCGAUACUGACGCUGAGGCGCGAAAGCGUGGGGAGCAAACAGG